AUUUCGUUAUUCUAAUCCAUUUACUGCGUAUUUUUGUUUCCUAAAGCAAUAUUGAAAGUAAGCAAUAGUCAAGUUCGUAGCUUGCAACGCCCAUAGUGGAAUUGAAGAGUUUCACCAUGAAGACAGUUUUGUUUAUAAUCUAUGCUUUUGUACUGGUGACAAGCCAGGCCAAAAAGUUGAAGUCAAACAAGUAUUUUAAUCCUUUGUCAGAUGAGUUUAUCAAUCACAUAAAUUCCAUGAAAUCAACAUGGAAGGCUGGACGUAAUUUUGGUAAAAACUUCCCGAUGGGACCCUGACUCAAAUGAUGGCUGUACACCCAGAUUCAAAUUUGUAGAUGCCUCCAUUGAAGAAUGUCAGCCAGAUGUUUAGUAACCAGGUUAGCUAUUCCAGAGGCAUUUGAUGCUUGGGAACAAUGGCCAGAUAUUGCCCCACCAUCCAAGAAAUUAGAGAUCAAGACUCUUGUUGAUCUUGCUGGACUUUUGGAGCUGUAGAGGUCAUGUCAGAUCAUAUUUGCAUUCACUCAAAGGGAGUAGUAAAUGCUCAUCUCUCAGCCGAAAACUUGGUCAGCUGCUGCUACACAUGUGGCUUUGGAUGCAAUGGUGGCUUCACUGGUGCUGCUUGGAGCCACUGGGUUAAGAAGGUUAUUGUCACUGGAGGCAAUUACAACUCAAGUCAAGGAUGCCAGCCGUAUAUUAUUCCCGCAUGUGAGCAUCAUACAACAGGUGAUCGUCCACCUUGCUCAGAGGGAGGUGGUACUCCGAAAUGCCUCAAGAUUUGUGAAGAUUGUUGUACAGUCGAUUAUACGCAAGAUCUUCAGUUCUUCACUAUGGUGCUUCUUCUUACUCUGUUCACAAACGCAUGGAAGAUAUUCAGUUAGAGAUAUUUUAAACAAUGGUCCGGUUGAAAGAGCUUUAACCGUUUACGAAGAUUUUCCUACUUACAAAUAAGGCGUUUACCAACAUGUUCAUGGAAAGCAGUCGGCGGUCACGCCAUCCGAAUUCUUGGAUGGGGCGUUGAGGAAGGUGUUCCAUACUGGCUUAUUGCUAACAACUGGAAUACCGACUGGGGUGAUAAUGGUUAUAUCAAACUUCUUCGUGGGAAAGAUGAUUGUGGCAUUGAAAGUCAGAUCACAGCUGGUUUACCGAAACUCUGAUUUUCUCUCAAUAUUACCUAAACGUUUACAGAUUAAACAUUUUUUUUGUUCACCUGUCUGCCUUAUUUUUCCUUCCUUUUAUUAAUUUUUUUUAUAAUCGAAAAUUAACGACUGUUUAGUGUUUUGAACAAAAAUAAAUUGGUUUAGUUAAAAUGA